CACGGAGGCAAAACAUCCCCUUCACCUUUGCCUACGAAGUCGCGCCGCAGACGGAAAAGCGCACUCCGUGGGGAUCGAACCCACGACCACACGGUUAAGAGCCGUGCGCUCUACCGACUGAGCUAGGAAUGCCACAAAACAGCAGGCUUUGACAUGAUGUCUCACCUUCCACCGGCAUCAAACUCAGGUUUUGCGCGUCCCCUGCGUCUUCCUCCGUACACCCCGCGCCUGCUGAGUGCGAAGCGCCUCCCUAUGGUGACCCCUUCCGUUCCCAAUUUUGGCCCGUUCACCACAACGCCGCAGAUGAUCCUUGCACAGCUGCGCGGGGGCACCUGUCCGCACCUCGGGUCCCCGCAGCGGCGGGUGACUAGCAGAGACAAGAUGGCGCCCUAUCUACUAAUCCGCUGGCAUUGUGGGGCGCCCCCGUGCCACUUUGGUACGACAAGCCAUGAGAUCUCUCUGCGCAGGUAAAUGCUUAUCCGCCGGCCCCCUCUACCCUCGACACACACACUCGUGUCAGAGGCGUGCGGAUUCAGAAGAGGGCGGAAUGCCCCCAUCCCCUGCAGCCACAGGCCAAUGGCAUCGACGGAAAUGGAAGAUGAAGAGGACCGAGCCCUCCCCUCUCUCCCUCAGGCAGCAACGCCCUUCUGAAGCAGACCCCACGAUCCGCUAGUGCGAGCGUUGUGCGCACUCGCUGUCAUACACAAGUGGCGUGGCGUAUCGCAUUGGGCCAAGGCAUGCAGAGGUGGAAAGAGCGCGACUAAGGAGCGAAAACAAGGCGUGAAGAGAUCCGUACCCAUCACCCCCUCCCCUACAGCGCAUGUGUGCGAAGCGCGUGGCACCUGCUGCAUCCGGCCGGGUGGGCCGAUGAGGUGCAGAUGCCGGCAGCAUGACGAGAGCACCCUCGAGCUGCACCACCGGGUCCUCCAGACUCCCAUGUGAAAAGCCUCCACACCAUAGUGUGGCAUGCCGCGGCUUGAAGCGACUGAGAGCGCGAAGCAAGGCACACGGGCAGGGUGCGCAGGGUCUCAGAAGGCCCUGACCUGAGGCUGGCCAACUUCCUCUCUGCGCCCAUCCAGCAUGCGAGUAACCCCCCCCUCCCUGCCUACCACCCGCACGGCCGACGCCACCGCUUGUGCCCUCGAGCAGCACCCUGGCCGCGGCCCGCGUUGGAUCGAUGCGUGCAGUCCAUCUGCGUCUCCGUGUGGGGCCGUUCACGGAGCACGCGCGCGAGGAAGGGAUGAGAAGAGCCCGUUCGGCGCAUGACCCCGAUGCAACGGCAGGGCGGCUCGUCCGAGACGACGACGGAUGUAGCUGCAGUGCGGCAGAGGUGGAUGAGCUGUGGCUGAGCGUGCGUAUACGUUUGCCGGCGUGACCUGGUGGUGUAGCGGCACGUUAAGAAAUGGCUUUUCCUACUGACAUCCGAUGAGGGGUAUAAGUCCAUCAGGUCGCGGAAGGAGUUUUUCUGUUGUUUUCGGUUUUUGUUUUCUGCGUGGUAACUGUGACUCGUUCCAGCGGGCCAAACUUCAAGUCCACGUCCUUGAUCAUGAUGUCUUCCUUUCUUUGCCUUCAG
rnacentral:tRNA from 1 species